rnacentral:rRNA from 1 species
AGACCCGAAACCCGGUGAUCUAGCCAUGGGCAGGUUGAAGGUUGGGUAACACUAACUGGAGGACCGAACCGACUAAUGUUGAAAAAUUAGCGGAUGACCUGUGGCUGGGGGUGAAAGGCCAAUCAAACCGGGAGAUAGCUGGUUCUCCCCGAAAGCUAUUUAGGUAGCGCCUCGUGAAUUCAUCUCCGGGGGUAGAGCACUGUUUCGGCUAGGGGGCCAUCCCGGCUUACCAACCCGAUGCAAACUGCGAAUACCGGAGAAUGUUAUCACGGGAGACACACGGCGGGUGCUAACGUCCGUCGUGAAGAGGGAAACAACCCAGACCGCCAGCUAAGGUCCCAAAGUCAUGGUUAAGUGGGAAACGAUGUGGGAAGGCCCAGACAGCCAGGAUGUUGGCUUAGAAGCAGCCAUCAUUUAAAGAAAGCGUAAUAGCUCACUGGUCGAGUCGGCCUGCGCGGAAGAUGUAACGGGGCUAAACCAUGCACCGAAGCUGCGGCAGCGAACGUAUCACCCAAGACAACUUUACGGAGUUGACGAUUGACGGAGCGAAGCGACGUCAAAGCGUUCAUUAAAGUCGAGUUGGCUUAGGGAUACGUUCGUUGGGUAGGGGAGCGUUCUGUAAGCCUGUGAAGGUGUGUCGUGAGGCAUGCUGGAGGUAUCAGAAGUGCGAAUGCUGACAUAAGUAACGAUAAAGCGGGUGAAAAGCCCGCUCGCCGGAAGACCAAGGGUUCCUGUCCAACGUUAAUCGGGGCAGGGUGAGUCGACCCCUAAGGCGAGGCCGAAAGGCGUAGUCGAUGGGAAACGGGUUAAUAUUCCCGUACUUGGUGUUACUGCGAAGGGGGGACGGAGAAGGCUAUGUUGGCCGGGCGACGGUUGUCCCGGUUUAAGCGUGUAGGUGUGUGUUCCAGGUAAAUCCGGUUCACUUUAACACUGAGGCGUGACGACGAGGCACUACGGUGCUGAAGCAACAAAUGCCCUGCUUCCAGGAAAAGCCUCUAAGCAUCAGGUAACAUCAAAUCGUACCCCAAACCGACACAGGUGGUCAGGUAGAGAAUACCAAGGCGCUUGAGAGAACUCGGGUGAAGGAACUAGGCAAAAUGGUGCCGUAACUUCGGGAGAAGGCACGCUGACACGUAGGUGAAGUGAUUUACUCAUGGAGCUGAAGUCAGUCGAAGAUACCAGCUGGCUGCAACUGUUUAUUAAAAACACAGCACUGUGCAAACACGAAAGUGGACGUAUACGGUGUGACGCCUGCCCGGUGCCGGAAGGUUAAUUGAUGGGGUCAGCGCAAGCGAAGCUCCUGAUCGAAGCCCCGGUAAACGGCGGCCGUAACUAUAACGGUCCUAAGGUAGCGAAAUUCCUUGUCGGGUAAGUUCCGACCUGCACGAAUGGCGUAAUGAUGGCCAGGCUGUCUCCACCCGAGACUCAGUGAAAUUGAACUCGCUGUGAAGAUGCAGUGUACCCGCGGCAAGACGGAAAGACCCCGUGAACCUUUACUAUAGCUUGACACUGAACAUUGAGCCUUGAUGUGUAGGAUAGGUGGGAGGCUUUGAAGUGUGGACGCCAGUCUGCAUGGAGCCGACCUUGAAAUACCACCCUUUAAUGUUUGAUGUUCUAACGUGGACCCGUAAUCCGGGUUGCGGACAGUGUCUGGUGGGUAGUUUGACUGGGGCGGUCUCCUCCUAAAGAGUAACGGAGGAGCACGAAGGUUGGCUAAUCCUGGUCGGACAUCAGGAGGUUAGUGCAAUGGCAUAAGCCAGCUUGACUGCGAGCGUGACGGCGCGAGCAGGUGCGAAAGCAGGUCAUAGUGAUCCGGUGGUUCUGAAUGGAAGGGCCAUCGCUCAACGGAUAAAAGGUACUCCGGGGAUAACAGGCUGAUACCGCCCAAGAGUUCAUAUCGACGGCGGUGUUUGGCACCUCGAUGUCGGCUCAUCACAUCCUGGGGCUGAAGUAGGUCCCAAGGGUAUGGCUGUUCGCCAUUUAAAGUGGUACGCGAGCUGGGUUUAGAACGUCGUGAGACAGUUCGGUCCCUAUCUGCCGUGGGCGCUGGAGAACUGAGGGGGGCUGCUCCUAGUACGAGAGGACCGGAGUGGACGCAUCACUGGUGUUCGGGUUGUCAUGCCAAUGGCACUGCCCGGUAGCUAAAUGCGGAAGAGAUAAGUGCUGAAAGCAUCUAAGCACGAAACUUGCCCCGAGAUGAGUUCUCCCUGAGACUUAGAGUCUCCUGAAGGAACGUUGAAGACGACGACGUU